rnacentral:rRNA from 1 species
UAGAGUUUGAUCAUGGCUCAGAUUGAACGCUGGCGGCAGGCCUAACACAUGCAAGUCGAGCGGAAACGAGUUAUCUGAACCUUCGGGGAACGAUAACGGCGUCGAGCGGCGGACGGGUGAGUAAUGCCUAGGGAAUUGCCCUGAUGUGGGGGAUAACCAUUGGAAACGAUGGCUAAUACCGCAUAAUGUCUUCGGGCCAAAGAGGGGGACCUUCGGGCCUCUCGCGUCAGGAUAUGCCUAGGUGGGAUUAGCUAGUUGGUGAGGUAAAGGCUCACCAAGGCGACGAUCCCUAGCUGGUCUGAGAGGAUGAUCAGCCACACUGGAACUGAGACACGGUCCAGACUCCUACGGGAGGCAGCAGUGGGGAAUAUUGCACAAUGGGCGCAAGCCUGAUGCAGCCAUGCCGCGUGUAUGAAGAAGGCCUUCGGGUUGUAAAGUACUUUCAGCAGUGAGGAAGAUGGUGUGCUUAAUACGUACAUCAUUUGACGUUAGCUGCAGAAGAAGCACCGGCUAACUCCGUGCCAGCAGCCGCGGUAAUACGGAGGGUGCGAGCGUUAAUCGGAAUUACUGGGCGUAAAGCGCAUGCAGGUGGUUUGUUAAGUCAGAUGUGAAAGCCCGGGGCUCAACCUCGGAAUAGCAUUUGAAACUGGCAGACUAGAGUACUGUAGAGGGGGGUAGAAUUUCA